rnacentral:pre_miRNA from 1 species
GUAAUACUCCCUCCGUCCGAAAAUACUUGUCAUCAAAAUGGAUAAAAAGAGAUGUAUCUAAAACUAAAAUACGUCUAGAUACAUUUCCUUUUAUCCAUUUUGAUGACAAGUAUUUUCGGACAGAGGGAGUACUUA